UACGAAGGGGGCUAGCGUUGUUCGGAAUUACUGGGCGUAAAGGGCGCGUAGGCGGUCAGCACAAGUCAGUUGUGAAAUCUCCGGGCUUAACUCGGAAAGGUCAACUGAUACUGUGCGACUAGAGUGCAGAAGGGGCAACUGGAAUUCUCGGUGUAGCGGUGAAAAUGCGUGAGAUAGUCGAGAGGAACACCUGCGGCGAAGGCGGGUUGCUGGGCUGACACUGACGCUGAUGCGCGAAAGCCAGGGGAGCGAACGGG
rnacentral:rRNA from 1 species